AAGUCGUAACAAGGUUUCCGUAGGUGAACCUGCGGAAGGAUCAUUAUUAAUCCAAAUGAUCAUUAGCUUAAAAAACUAAUGGUCUAACCUUCUUGUGAACUGUUUAAUGUUUUUUUAAUUGGGAGUUUAAUGAGAUGUCAGUUAAUAUUGACAAAUCAACUCCCAAUUGAAUAUAUAUAUAUACAAACUAUUUUAUUUUUUAAAGUUGAUUAUUUUACAGAUAAAAACUGUAUUAAUAUAAAUACAACUUAUAGCGAUGGAUCUCUAGGCUCUG
rnacentral:misc_RNA from 1 species